UUGAAGAGCGGUAAGCCCGUUGCAGGUGGUCCAGGUGUUCCCCUCCAUAGUGUGGGUAUAUAGCCUGGAUAUUGUCCCUGCUCGGCGCGCUCUUCUU
rnacentral:sRNA from 1 species